rnacentral:rRNA from 1 species
UCCUGAUCCAGCCAUGCCGCGUGAGUGAAGAAGGCCUUAGGGUUGUAAAGCUCUUUCAUAGGUGAAGAUUAUGACGGUAGCUAUAGAAGAAGCCCCGGCUAACUUCGUGCCAGCAGCCGCGGUAAUACGAAUGGGGCAAGCGUUGUUCGGAAUCACUGGGCUUAAAGCGUGCGCAGGCGGACUUGAAAGUCAGGAGUGAAAUCCCGGGGCUCAACCCUGGAACUGCUUCUGAAACUCCAAAUCUAGAAUUCAGUAGAGGUUAGGAGAAUUCCGAGUGUAGAGGUGAAAUUCGUAGAUAUUCGGAGGAAUACCAGUGGCGAAGGCGCCUAACUGGACUGAUAUUGACGCUCAUGUACGAAAGCGUGGGGAGCAAACAGGAUUAGAUACCCUGGUAGUCCACGCCGUAAACGAUGUGUGCUAGUUGUCGGAGGCUUAAGUCUUCGGUGACGUAGGGAAACCAUUAAGCACCCCGCCUGGGGAGUACGACCG